rnacentral:rRNA from 1 species
AUACGUAGGGGGCAAGCGUUAUCCGGAUUUACUGGGUGUAAAGGGAGCGUAGACGGUGUGACAAGUCUGAUGUGAAAACCCGGGGCUCAACUCCGGGAUUACAUUGGAAACUGCCAUACUUGAGUGCAGGAGAGGUAAGCGGAAUUCCUAGUGUAGCGGUGAAAUGCGUAGAUAUUAGGAGGAACACCGGCGGCGAAGGCGGCUUACUGGACUGUAACUGACGUUGAGGCUCGAAAGCGUGGGGAGCAAACAGGAUUAGAUACCCUGGUAGUCCACGCGGUAAACGAUGAAUACUAGGUGUUGGGGGUCUAUAGACCCUCGGUGCCGCAGCAAACGCAAUAAGUAUUCCACCUGGGGAGUACGUUCGCAAGAAUGAAACUCAAAUGAAUUGGCGGG